rnacentral:rRNA from 1 species
GACAGAGGAUGCAAGCGUUAUCCGGAAUGAUUGGGCGUAAAGCGUCUGUAGGUGGCUCUUUAAGUCCGCCGUCAAAUCCCCAGGGCUCAACCCGUGGACAGGCGGUGGAAACUACCAAGCUGGAGUACGGUAGGGGCAGAGGGAAUUUCCGGUGGAGCGGUGAAAUGCGUAGAGAUCGGAAAGAACACCAACGGCGAAAGGCAACUCUGCUGGGCCGACACUGACACUGAGAGACGAAAGCUAGGGGGAGCGAAUGGG